rnacentral:snRNA from 2 species
AUACUUAUCUGAACGGGUUAGUGGGCAAUCAAUAAGGCCCAUGGCUUAGGUUAGUAACUUCCUUUGCACUUUGGAAGGGUGCCUACUUAAGGUCGGUCCAAAUGAUUGAGCCUAUGUCAUAAUGGGGCUUGCCAUUCGCGCAACCUCUAA